AAAUUGAAGAGUUUGAUCAUGGCUCAGAUUGAACGCUGGCGGCAGGCCUAACACAUGCAAGUCGAGCGGUAGCACAGAGAGCUUGCUCUCGGGUGACGAGCGGCGGACGGGUGAGUAAUGUCUGGGAAACUGCCUGAUGGAGGGGGAUAACUACUGGAAACGGUAGCUAAUACCGCAUAAUGUCGCAAGACCAAAGUGGGGGACCUUCGGGCCUCAUGCCAUCAGAUGUGCCCAGAUGGGAUUAGCUAGUAGGUG
rnacentral:rRNA from 3 species